AGAGUUUGAUCCUGGCUCAGAUUGAACGCUGCCCCGCAUGCUUUACACAUGCAAGUCGAACGGCAGCGCGGGGCAACCUGGCGGCGAGUGGCGAACGGGUGAGUAAUAUAUCGGAACGUACCCAGAAGUGGGGGAUAACGUAGCGAAAGUUACGCUAAUACCGCAUACGAUCUACGGAUGAAAGUGGGGGACCUCCGGGCCUCAUGCUUGUGGAGCGGCCGAUAUCUGAUUAGCUAGUUGGUGAGGUAAAGGCUCACCAAGGCAACGAUCAGUAGCUGGUCUGAAAGGACGACCAGCCACACUGGGACUGAGACACGGCCCAGACUCCUACGGGAGGCAGCAGUGGGGAAUUUUGGACAAUGGGCGCAAGCCUGAUCCAGCAAUGCCGCGUGAGUGAAGAAGGCCUCCGGGUUGUAAAGCUCUUUUGUCAGGGAAGAAACGGCUGAGGAUAAUACCUUCGGCUAAUGACGUACCUG
rnacentral:rRNA from 1 species